rnacentral:lncRNA from 10 species
CAGAGCCAUGACAGUUCACAAAUGCCAUGACAACAUCAGGAAGUUAUCCUAUAAGGUCUAAAAAGGGGAGACAGGAAUAAUGCACCCCUUGUUUAACAUAUAAUCAAGAAAUAACCAUAAAAAUGGGCAACCAACAGCCCUCGGGGCUGCUCUGCCUAUGGAGUAGCCACUCUUUUAAUCCUCUACUUUCUUAAUAAACUUCCUU